GUUUUGUUUUUCAGACUCUGGACAUUCAAAUGUAAACCAAGCCAGCCAGUUGAGGGGUGCUGGGCCCAGUCACCAGUCCAGCCACAGUGAUGGGUCCCAGCACAGCAACCGGUACCGACACAGAGAGCGGUCCAGGCACAGCGACGGGUCCAGGCACAGUGACAGGUCCCAGCAAAGCAAACGGUACCAACACAGAAAGCGGUCCAGGCACAGCGACGGGUCCAGGCACAGUGACAGGUCCCAGCAAAGCAAACGGUACCGACGCAGGAAGCAGUCCAGGCACAGCGAUUUGUCUAAAGACGAUUAUGGAAGUGUUCAAAUGCCAAUCUCAAGAUACUCUGGGAGGUCUUUCUCAGAGCAGAGUAACAGGUCCUCUGCACAUGAAUCCAGUACAAGGCCUCAUAGGGAAACAGACUUAAGAUUUCCAAUGGCCAUGGCAAAGUUUCAGAAAAAAGUCUUAACUAAAUUGGUGCAUAUCCACAUGGAGGUCAGAAGGCUGGGAAAAAGCGAGCCUCUCCUGUCAUCCGCCCAUAUAGAGCUACUGGAGACAAUGGAGGAGUUUGAGAGAGGAGGAACUCCUCAAGGACAAGCAAGCCUUUGAGUCCCUGGUGUUGCAACUUGCAAGAAUUGGAGGGAAAGAUGUAAGGGAUUGUGUCCACAAAAUUCUUGACCGGCUCUUUACCAACCGGCUGAUGGCAAAAUUCAAUAUGAAGGGGAAGGGGAAGAAGCAGAAACUGCCUCUGGAGACUACA